UUCUUUCUACACGAGUAAUAGAAAUGUCAAAUCCGAAAAAGAGUUUGCAGUGUAAAUCAGUUUUCUUUAAUUACGUAUUUGUACCGUAAAUUGAAAGUUCUGGAAGAUACUGACCUUUGAAGAAGGAUACUGGAAUCCAGUCGUACUAAAAAGAAAGGCGUUGAAAAUAUCAAAUGGUAACAUUGAUGACCUUACAGAGGUUUGCCUGAAAGUAUUCUGUUCAGAGACUUCCUUUUCUUUCUUUUCUACAUAGGCUAUAUUUAUCAUACACCGAUCGAGUUCCACAGAUUGCUUACAGCAGCAGAGCAAGAAGACACCAACAUAAUUGUUCGAGUAUUUGCUUUCAAAUAACACUAAGUUCAACUGAAAUUUAUUUCCAGCAUCGUAGAGUAAGGCCAAAGUACUUUAUGCCCGUCUCUGAUCUUUGUCGCCAUUCCUCCAUAAAAGACACUCCGCUGGCAAAAUAGUCCAAAAACUUGAAUGCAUGUAGAAAAACUAUAUAAAAAAUUAGUUUUGAUAUCUUUCAAAUAAA